CAGUCGCCGCGGGAACACGAAGGGUGCAAGCGUUAAUCGGAAUUGCUGGGCGUAAAGCGUGCGUAGGCGGUGAGUUAAGUCUGCUGUGAAAUCCCCGGGCUCAACCGGGGAAUGGCAGUGGAUACUGGCUCGCUAGAGUGUGUCAGAGGAUGGUGGAAUUCCCGGUGUAGCGGUGAAAUGCGUAGAGAUCGGGAGGAACAUCAGUGGCGAAGGCGGCCAUCUGGGACAACACUGACGCUGAGGCACGAAAGCGUGGGGAGCAAACAGGAUUAGAUACCCCCGUAGUCCCUGUCUCUUAUAA
rnacentral:rRNA from 1 species